AUGUUCCUGCAGUUUUGAGAACAGUGUUUUUAGUAGAUUCUUCAAGUCAGUGUAAUCAAUUAAAUAACAAAAUAUAAUUGCUAUUAUAUUUGUCUUUCAGGGCACUUAACCAUAUAGGGAUGACUUUCUAAGAAGUUUCUCACCUUCAUAGUUUUGGUACAAAACACCAAAAAUAUAGGCUUUAAGAUAAUGCCUAGAGAGACUGACAGUGGUUAUAAAUUACUUCAGAUAGGACAAAAAAUGUGCUCAGCCCAACAGUUUUUGUUCUGAUUUCAAAUCUAUACAUUAAGUGUAUCUACUGUUACUGUCUCCAAAUUUUAAAAUUCCCUAGAAAUUGUUACUUUCACAUAAUAAUAGGUAUUAGUCAAUAGCCUAAAGUCCAUCAGGAGUAAUCCCUUUUACUCCAUCAUAUUCACAGUAGUUUUGCUCUUGGCCUGGCCAGUUUUAAAACUCUUCAUUAACCAAAGGCAAAGAUAAUUUUAUACGAUAUAAGGGCACAAAAACAGUCCCCAUCUCUUUCGCUCUCUCCCUCCUUCUAGCGUCAGUUGAACAAGUGAACACAGAACCCCCCACACACACAUACAUACACACAUGCACACACACUCUCGGUACUGGUCCCCAGGGCAUCAAUUAAAAAAAAAAAAAGGUCAUACCCCUACGAUUCUCUACAGUCUACCUAGGAAGGUUUUAAAAAAAAAAAAAAAAUGGGGGAAAAUACAAGAAUCAAUCUGCACCGCACCUCAGCCCCGCCCCAUCGGGAAAAAGUGGGGGGUGGCGGGAGUGUGAAGGGGCAGAAAGGACAGAUAAGGCCAAGACUUCCAAGUCCCAGGUUCUCCAUUCCAUUUGUUCCGUCAGCUUCCACCGCAGCCAGAGACCCUGACCCUAUUUUCUACCGCGCCUCCAGUUCCUCCCCACGCCACCAUCAUAUACAGUGCCCAACCACUGAGUGCAGAGACCAGAGCCGGCCCUCUUCCUGUUCCAUUCCAGAACUGAGGGGGGGUUUCCCCGCGCCCUCUGCGACUCCGACAUGUGCCCCCGGGACCUCUGAACAGACCAGAGAAGGGGAAGGUACAUCGGGGGAGGGGUCUAAGAGACGCCGUUAUUCCUUUUUCCUCCACGUUAGGAAAGCGCGCGAGCGGGGAGGGGCCGGAACAACAAAUGCCAGUUACCUAACGGUCCGGCCUGGCCAGUCCGGCUCCUGAAGCCGACACCGCGCGGGCCGCAGAGGCGGCAGCGCAGCCACAGCCGCCCCGAGGGCUAGGCACAGAGGCAGGAGAGCCCGAGGUGAUGGGAAGCGGGGGGUGGGGACUAUGGUGAGCGACGUCGCCAUGUUAGUGCCUUCUUUCUCCGUAUCCCUACAGUCUCCAGUCCUGCGGCCCUCUCCUCAUCACUACUCACCUUUCCAGCUCACUAGUUCAUGCUCUUUUCGGUCGUUGGGAAGACCCAAGCUCCGCGGUGUUUACAAACUACCCCUAGAGGAAAGGGCUGAACCGCACUUUAAAGGCCACGGGCUCCCACAGGCUUCCGUCCUCUCUCGCGAGAUCGGACUGACAACCCUUCUCUCCGCCCCACUCCCGGCAUCCCUCCUUUCUUCUCGCGCCCCUCCCCUACACGCAUGCUCCCCUUCUAGCCUUCCUUCAGACGGAGCGCCUCCGGGUCAGGUGGUUCCCUCAGGCUUAAGGAAGUGGGUAGGACUUCAGGAGGGCAGGGAAAAGGAGGCGGGAACCAAGGGAUACUCGAGCGCUGAUUAUUGGAUAAAGAACUCGAAGGGCGGGAAGCAGUUAUGGAGGAGACGGGACCAGAGAGUCAAAAGAGCUGUGUCUCUGUAACCCGCGAGCAACUGCAGACUGUGAUUGGCAGACGGCUGGGAGGCGGGCGCGAGUGUGGGGCGCUGGAGCAGGUGGAUGCUGAGGUCGCGUGAGGUUGAUGGUGUGCAGGAAGGAAUAGGUGAACUCUGGGAAGGCUGCGAGCGGCGGGAGAGAAAGCAGGCGUCCUCUGAGCCCAGCUCCGGAAACCUGGUAUUUCCGUUGCUGUCACUUCCCGGUCCUAGGUAGAAAGGAGAGUAAAGCGUAGGGAGGCGCUCACCAAAACCCACCUUCCGGCUACAACUGAACCCUGAGACGGAGAGCUUCGGUUUAGAAGCGGAGUGUGCUGGAAAUUAACUCUCGAGCCCCCAACAUGUC
ensembl:lncRNA